rnacentral:rRNA from 1 species
CCCGAAACCGAGUGACCUAUCCAUGGCCAGGAUGAAGCGGAAGUAAAAUUCCGUGGAGGUCCGAACCACGUUGGUGUUGAAAAACCAUGGGAUGAGCUGUGGAUAGCGGAGAAAUUCCAAUCGAACUCGGAGAUAGCUGGUUCUCCUCGAAAUAGCUUUAGGGCUAGCGUCGGGUAAUUGAGUAGUGGAGGUAGAGCACUGAAUGGGCUAGGGGCUGACAACAGUUACUGAACCCUAUCAAACUCCGAAUGCCAUAUACUUGUACCCCGGCAGUCAGACUACGAAUGAUAAGAUCCGUGGUCAAAAGGGAAACAGCCCAGACCAUCAGCUAAGGUCCCAAAGUGUAAGUUAAGUGGGAAAGGAUGUGGGAUUUCUAAGACAACUAGGAUGUUGGCUUAGAAGCAGCCACUCAUUUAAAGAGUGCGUAAUAGCUCACUAGUCGAGAGAUCCUGCGCCGAAGAUGUAACGGGGCUCAAACUUACCACCGAAGCUAUGGAUGUGUACUUUGUACACGUGGUAGAGGAGCUUUCUGUACAGGUUGAAGUCAUACCGUAAGGAGUGGUGGACAGUACAGAAGUGAGAAUGCUGGCAUAAGUAGCGAAAAACAAGUGAGAAUCUUGUUGACCGAAUAUCUAAGGUUUCCUGGGGAAGGCUCGUCCUCCCAGGGUUAGUCGGGACCUAAGCCGAGGCCGAAAGGCGUAGGUGAUGGACAACUGGUUGAUAUUCCAGUACCACCAUAAUGCGUUUGACAAAUGGGAUGCCGCAGGAGGAUAGGAUGUGCGCACUAUUGGAUGUGCGUCUAAGCACUUAGGGUGUUAAGUAGGCAAAUCCGCUUAACAUUAAGC